ACAUGUUUCAAAUUCAUAUGUGAAACUUCACAUGUGAAAUUUCACAUGUGAAAUACAUAAUUUCACAUGUGUUCACAUGUGAAAAAUCACAUGUUACAAAUUCACAUGUGAAAUUUCACAUGUAAAACUUCUCAUGUGAAACGC